rfam:Salmo salar isolate Sally breed double haploid chromosome ssa06, whole genome shotgun sequence.
AUCCCUGUGGCUCAGUUGGUAGAGCAUGGUGUGUGCAACGCCAGGGUUGUGGGUUCGAUUCCCACGGGGGGCC